rnacentral:rRNA from 1 species
GGAUUAGAUACCCUGGUAGUCCACGCCGUAAACGAUGUUCACUAGUUGCUGUGUUCCGAUUUGAGAAUGCAGUGACAAAGCUAACGCAUUAAGUGAACCGCCUGGGGAGUACGGUCGCAAGAUUAAAACUCAAAGGAAUUGACGGGGACCCGCACAAGCGGUGGAGCAUGUGGUUUAAUUCGAAGCAACGCGAAGAACCUUACCUAGGCUUGAAAUCCCGAGAAAAUUCGGUAAUUCGAAUUGUGCCUCUUCGGAGGAACUCGGUGACAGGUGCUGCAUGGCUGUCGUCAGCUCGUGUUG